rnacentral:snRNA from 1 species
AUGCCUUAAACUAAUGAGUAAGGAAAAUAACGAGCUGGGGUAAUGCCUGGUUCCUCACUACUCAUGUGAGAAGAAUUUUUGUAUGGGUAAAGAUCACCCCUUGAAGGACCCACCUACUUGCAUGGGAUCUCUAGGUGCAGUGAUUUGCCCA